rnacentral:rRNA from 1 species
GACGAACGCUGGCGGCGUGCCUAAUACAUGCAAGUUGAGCGAUGAAGAUUGGUGCUUGCACCAAUUUGAAGAGCAGCGAACGGGUGAGUAACGCGUGGGGAAUCUGCCUUUGAGCGGGGGACAACAUUAGGAAACGAAUGCUAAUACCGCAUAACAACUUUAAACAUAAGUUUUACGUUUGAAAGAUGCAAUUGCAUCACUCAAAGAUGAUCCCGCGUUGUAUUAGCUAGUUGGUGAGGUAAAGGCUCACCAAGGCGAGGAGACAUAGCCGACCUGAGAGGGUGAGCGGCCACAUUGGGACGUAGACACGGCCCAAACUCCUACGGGAGGCAGCCGUAGGGAAUCUUCGGCAAUGGACGAAAGUCUGACCGAGCAACGCCGCGUGAGUGCAGAAUGUUUUCGGAUCGUAAAACUCUGUUGGUAGAGAAGAACGUUGGUGAGAGUGGAAAGCUCAUCAAGUGACGGUAACUACCCAGAAAGGGACGGCUAACUACGUG